UACGGAGGGUGCAAGCGUUAUCCGGAUUCACUGGGUUUAAAGGGUGCGUAGGCGGGUUGGUAAGUCCGUGGUGAAGUCUCCGAGCUUAACUCGGAAACUGCCGUGGAUACUAUCAAUCUUGAAUAUCGUGGAGGUAAGCGGAAUAUGUCAUGUAGCGGUGAAAUGCUUAGAGAUGACAUAGAACACCAAUUGCGUAGGCAGCUUACUACACGAUCAUUGACGCUGAGGCACGAAAGCGUGGGGAGCAAACAGG
rnacentral:rRNA from 1 species